rnacentral:sRNA from 1 species
UAUUCUACCCUACGGGGAAGGAUGAGAAGCUUCGACUAAGGUUCGACUCGAGCGCCAGCGAGAGAACGUUGCCGCAGGCAACGGCCCGAAGGGCGAGGCGCUUUAGCGCCGAGUUAUCCUUCCCCCUCUAUUC